rnacentral:rRNA from 1 species
AGUGAACGCUGGCGGUAGGCCUAACACAUGCAAGUCGAACGGCAGCACAGUAAGAGCUUGCUCUUACGGGUGGCGAGUGGCGGACGGGUGAGGAAUACAUCGGAAUCUACUUUUUCGUGGGGGAUAACGUAGGGAAACUUACGCUAAUACCGCAUACGCCCUACGGUUGAAAGCAGGGGAUCUUCUGACCUUGCGCGAUUGAAUGAGCGGAUGUGGGAUUGGCUAGUUGGCGGGGUAAAGACCCACCAAGGCGACGAUCGGUAGCUGGUCUGAGUGGAUGGUAAGCCACCUUGGAGCGUGGACACGCACCAGAGUACUACGGGAGGGCGCAGUGGGGAAUAUUGGACAAUGGGCGCAAGCAUGGCCCAGCCAUACCGCGUGGGUGACGAAGGCCUUCGGUUUGUAAAGACCUUUUGUUGGGAAAGAAAAGCAGCAGGUUAAUACCCCGCUGUUCUGACGGUACCCAAAGAAUAAGCACCGGCUAACUUCGUG